AUGCUGACCGUCCGCGCGCGCACAUUGCCAAACGCUCGAGCAGAGUUUGCUGACCUACUUCGAGACAAAAGUUCCCGCUUCACAAACAAUUUGGUGAAGUUGCAGAAGACCGGUGCUCGUUUUGAAUAUAUUUUUUUUUAUAACAACGCGUUUUGCAGCGUUGUUGCGCGCGCGGACUAUAAGCGCGAGGACACCGGACACCAGAGGGAAGAAUUAGGGAGAAUCUGUGGAGUUGAAGUGGCCAACGUGGCACCAGUCACUGGCAUCAGACCUGCCUCUUAAGUGUGAUGUGACGAUAGUGAGGCUGCUCUUCAGUCAACCAUGGAGCAUGAUCUGAGGAUGGGUUUGUCUGUGUGGACCAUUGUGGCCAUUGUUUGUAACUCUGUGGUGGGUGUCCUCAUCCUCAUCCUCUUCGUCAUCCUCUACAAGGCCUGCAAGGUGCCUUCACACCCAGAGAAAUUGCCAGUUUUCACAGCUCAUCCGCAGCAGAAGAAUUCUGAACAGAAGUACCUGCUGACUGCAGCCUGACGAUAACUUGAAGACACAGACUUGAGAUGUAGACAAGAUUCAACUUUGUCGAUCAAGCAGAAAUCAAGAAAAAGUGGAUUUAUGGUGUUAGAAGACUCUUUGAGAGAUCUUCUAUAUUUCUCCUCCACUCUUGUCAUUAUUUUCGCUCAGUAAGUCCUUUUGUCUAACAUACUGUUCACAUUUCUCCACCAUCAGCCCUUCAUUUAUGCCAUUCAGUGGAGCUCAGAGUGAGCUAACUGCGUUAAGAGUUGUAGCAAGACCAACAACAACAAGCAAGCCCAAUCCUCUUAUCUCUGCUGUGCGUCGCUGGGACUGUCCAUCUGUCAGUCUGUUUGCUUUGCUCUACACAAGCAGACCAUGAUCUCCUCCUCUGCUCCAUUCUUUUUCAUCCCUCCAUAUGAGACAACUGAGAGGAAGAGGAGGAGAAACAGCAAAAACAAAAUGAAUUGUAACAGGAAAGUUUGGGGUGAUGGGGUUGGUUGAGAGUGACGAUGACAUGUUAGAGAAGAAAAAGUAGCUCUGUAGCUGACAAGCGGUUUGGUGUUUGCCAGCUGCAGCACCUAUGAUGAUGACGGCAGAGCUGCAAACAGACGACAGGUAGAAAACCAAACGCCUGAAAAAGUCAGGAAAGUGUGUGAGAGUCAAGAGAGGGCGCAGAGGGAGACAGACGGAGAUAAAGGGCAGAUAUUUGGUGGGGAUGAUAAAAUGCAGGGGAAGAAUCGGAGAGGGGAGUCUUUGAUGUGUUGUUUACAGAGAGGGAGCUCGAGGGCCCUGUUUGACAGUCUCCCUAUUCGACACACAAGUCUCGGCUUCCACCGAUCCGACUACCAUGGGAUUAAAAGCAACAGCAAAAAUGUUACUCGUGUCCCGGUGUGCCUCUCUUUCAUUUUGUGAGCUCCUGUAAAGACUGAAUAAGAUAUUUUUAGACAGGCUUCACCAGAAAUGACAUAUUGAACACUCACAGUCUCACAGUAACAAGUGAAUAUUGUAUUUAUUGUAGUGAAUGUACUGCAGCCAACACACUGACUGUGGUAGCAAUAUUCUCUAAAGAGUGGAAGAGUGAUGGAAUAUACCAAUGUGACAAGCCAAUCAUCACAAUAAAAAGUACUGCAUACCAGUAUAUAUUUUUGUCUUGUAUAGUGAUACAAAGGGCUCUUAACAGAAAUGUGAUUUAUUUUGUGUUUGAGAAACAUCAGUUGAAGUUUUAUCUGAGGUAAUUGGUCCAAAAAGAUGUUUAAAAAAUGAUAUGCUGCUUUGAUUUUCUAUGCAGCAUGUUCUGUUUUGUGGGAUAUAUUACUCACAUGCAAUCAUGAACAGCAAUUUGUGGUGAAAUGAUUAGUUGUUUAAGACAUAUUUGGGAUUUGAUAAAUAAUUUAAAUCACAAUUAAGUUGCAGCUUAUGUGUGAACUUUUUCUUUCAUAUCAUUGUAAACUGAAUAACUUGACUCUAUACCUUGUGCUGCUAAUGACUUUCUGAUACAAUAAAAUGAUUUACUCUGAUGUAUAACUAACGUGGUCCACAAUCAAUAUUGCCAUGCCUCUUCGAUGUGUACUAGCGUCUCCUAUUUCUUUAAACAUUAGAAUUAAAUUACCAACUGGCUUCAGCAUCCUGCACUGUAGCUAUCAGUGUGGAACAUAUUGAUGUCAACAGCGCCCCACAUCCUGUUGUUAGUCACAACUAUAUCUGGUAACCAUGAUCCACAGGGAACUAUUGAGUGUUAACUUCUGUGGAUGUUUGUCUUUGAGUGGUUUCAGUCAUUAUUUCUCUGUCUUUAGCACACAUAAAGGCAGUGGUGGAGUAACUAUGUGCCUUUACUCAAGUGCUGCUUAUAAUAAGUGCAGGUUUUAGACAUUUUAUCCUAUUUGUACUUCCACUCCACUACAUUUCAGAAGAAUUUAUUUGACAGCCAUAGUUACUAGUUGCCUUACAGAUGACUUAUAAGAUUAGCUCUUAAAAUACAAUACACUGUGGUGCAUUAAACUACCCAACUGUAUAUAAAGGACAUAAGAGUACUUCCAGUUACAUUAAAACAGUGCUUAAACAUCAGUAAUCAUUUGUUAUGUAAUAAUCUUAUUAUUAAUCAUCAUAGUAUUAGAAGAACAAGGGGCCAUUCUGCUUGCAUACUGAGUACUUACUUGAUACUUACAAUAUGUGCAUACUAUUACUUCAGUAACAUUUUUAAUGCAGGUAUUUUUACUUGUAAUGUCAUAUUUG
ensembl:lncRNA